GACGAACGCUGGCGGCGUGCCUAAUACAUGCAAGUCGAACGAAGUGGCGAACGGGUGAGUAACGCGUAAUCAACCUGCCCUUCAGAGGGGGACAACAGUUGGAAACGACUGCUAAUACCGCAUACUGAAGGAGGGGAUUGCGUCUGAUUAGCUAGUUGGAGGGGUAACGGCCUACCGAGGCUAUGACGCGUAACUGGUCUGAGAGGAUGAUCAGUCACAUUGGAACUGAGACACGGUCCAAACUCCUACGGGAGGCAGCAGUGGGGAAUAUUGGACAAUGGCCGAGAGUCUGAUCCAGCAAUUCUGUGUGCACGAUGAAGUUUUUCGGAAUGUAAAGUGCUUUCAGUUGGGAAGCGGUACCAACAGAAGAAGUGACGGCUAAAUACGUGCCAGCAGCCGCGGUAAUUC
rnacentral:rRNA from 1 species